rnacentral:rRNA from 1 species
AUUCUCCUUGUAUUGGGGAUAGUUCGGGGAACUCGAAUAAUGCCGCAUACGACCUACGGUGAAAGGUGGCUCAAGCUCUGGCUAUUAGAUGAGCCUAUAUCAGAUUAGCUAAUUGAUGGGGUAAAGGCCCACCAAGGCGACGAUCUGUAACUGGUCUGAGAGGAUGAUCAGUCACACCGGAACUGAGACACGGUCCGGACUCCUACGGGAGGCAGCAGUGGGGAAUAUUGGACAAUGGGGGCAACCCUGAUCCAGCCGUGCCGCGUGUGUGAAGAAGGCCUUUUGGUUGUAAAGCACUUUAAGCAGGGAGGAGAGGCUAAUGGUUAAUACCCAUUAGAUUAGACGUUACCUGCAGAAUAAGCACCGGCUAACUCUGUGCCAGCAGCCGCGGUAAUACAGAGGGUGCGAGCGUUAAUCGGAAUUACUGGGCGUAAAGCGAGUGUAGGUGGCUCAUUAAGU